rnacentral:rRNA from 1 species
UACGUAGGGUGCGAGCGUUAAUCGGAAUUACUGGGCGUAAAGCGUGCGCAGGCUGUUUUGUAAGUCAGAUGUGAAAUCCCUGGGCUCAACCUAGGAACUGCAUUUUGUGACUGCAUGGCUAGAAAUCUGGCAGAGGGGGGGUAGAAUUCCACGUGUAGCAGUGAAAUGCGUAGAUAUGUGGAGGAACACCGAUGGCGAAGGCAGCCCCCUGGGUCAAGAUUGACGCUCAUGCACGAAAAGCGUGGGGGAGCAAACAGG